UACGAAGGGGGCUAGCGUUGUUCGGAAUUACUGGGCGUAAAGGGCGCGUAGGCGGUGUGUCAAGUCAGGCGUGAAAGCCCCGGGCUCAACCUGGGAACCGCGCUUGAGACUGGCACGCUAGAGUUCGGGAGAGGAUGGUGGAAUUCCCAGUGUAGAGGUGAAAUUCGUAGAUAUUCGCAAGAACACCAGUGGCGAAGGCGGCCCACUGGCCCGGUACUGACGCUGAGGUGCGAAAGCGUGGGAG
rnacentral:rRNA from 1 species